GAGAAGAUUCCAGAACUCUCUUUAAGUCUUGACUCUGAUACAAGCUGGGAGACCACCCUCCAGCCCCUCUCGCCGUCCCACUGGACUCCGUGUGAGGGGCCAGCUUUGGAGCGGCUGCACAGGGGCUCCCAAAGACACCCCCAAAGCUUCACGACACACGCGCAAGAAGCAGACCUUGGCUGUCCCAUUACUGGAGCCAGAUAUCACAGAAAAGUGACCCGGAUUUGGAGGCAGAAGAUUCAGGACCAAAUGCCACUUGCUGUGUGUGGCAGUCAUGUGCCUGCUUGGGGCCUCAGUUUCCCCUUCUGCAAACUACGGGAUGAAGGUGAAGAUCCCCAUCGCGCAUGUGUGAGUCAGUCCGGGCCGCUGUAACAAGGCACCGUAGACUGGCUUACACAGACGCGGAAACUCACUCCGCGCCGUCCCGGAGGCUGAAAGUCUGCCAUGGGGCGCCGCACAGUUGCGUUCCGCGGAGGGCUGUCUUCGGGACUGCAGACUGCUGCCCUCGCACUGUGUCCUCUCUGGUGGGAGGAGAGCUAGAGAGCCUCUUUGGGGUCCCUUUUGUGAGGGCACUAAUCCCAUUCGUGGGGCUCGCCCUCAUCUCAUGACCUAAUCGCCUCCCAAAGGCCCUACCUCCCAACACCAUCACACCGGGAUUAGGGUUUCAGCGUAAGAAUUUUGGGGGACACACACACGUUCAAUCCAAAGCACCACCUUUAACCAUUCUUUAACAAACAGUUUUAAUAGAACAAUUUGGGGAAAUCAA